UUUUUUUUUUUUGUCACAAAAACAAGUCUCAUGCACUAUAAGAGAAUGCGCUUUCAUCGACGGACACAUCUGUUGAAAAUCUCUCUGUGAAAGUGGUAGUCGUUGGAAAACAUGGUGUGGGUAAACAGAACUGAGUUCGUGUUGAUCCAAGCCAACAAUGGGUAGCAACAACCGAGUUCCUACAGGCCAGAAGUCGGUAAUUACCACUAUUAUUUACCGUCACUAAUAGUUGGUUUUCUAGUAGUGAUGUCAUUUUCUACCAAGAAAAUUUACCCGAGAUUUUGUUUUGCUUGAGGGAAAAGGCUAACCUGAUACACAGCAUAGGCAAUGAAGAAACCUAACGAGAGGAU
rnacentral:lncRNA from 1 species